GCCAUCUUAGCUCAGUGGUAGAGCAACACAUUCGUAACGUGUAGGUCGUGAGUUCGACUCUCACAGAUGGCU
rnacentral:tRNA from 1 species